rnacentral:lncRNA from 1 species
UUUGAUCUUUAUUGGUUGUUCUUCGUACUCGUUGGCUCAGGGCGAAUCGGUUUUGUGUUAAGGGUUUAGGGAUUUUUAGAGGUUGGAUUCGAACUCGAAAGGGGGUAUUUAGAGGGUUAAGUUGUGUUUUGAGGAGGGUGGCCGGAGAAGAAGGGAGGCUAUUUUGUGUUAAGGGUUUAGGGAUUUUUAGAGGUUGGAUUCGAACUCGAAAGGGGGUAUUUAGAGGGUUAAGUUGUGUUUUGAGGAGGGUGGCCGGAGAAGAAGGGAGGCUCCACCGUAAGCCGUCGCUUUCGGC